rnacentral:rRNA from 1 species
GACGAACGCUGGCGGCGUGCUUAACACAUGCAAGUCGAACGGUGAAGGGAUCAGCUUGCUGGUUCUGGAUGAGUGGCGCACGGGUGAGUAACACGUGAGUAACCUGCCCCCUUCUUCUGGAUAACCGCAUGAAAGUGUGGCUAAUACGGGAUAUUCUGCGCCUGCUGCAUGGUGGGUGUGGGAAAGAUAUUGUUUCGGUUGGGGAUGGGCUCUCGGCCUAUCAGCUUGUUGGUGGGGUGAUGGCCUACCAUGGCGGUGACGGGUAGCCGGCCUGAGAGGGGGGACGGUCACAGAGGGACUGAGACAAGGCCCAGACUGAGACGGGAGGCAGAAGUGGGGAAGAGUGAACAAUGGGGGAAAGCCUGAUGCAGCGACGCCGCGUGAGGGAUGGAGGCCUGCGGGGUGUGAACCUCUUUCGCCAGUGAAGCAGGCCUGUCCCUUGUGGGUGGGUUGACGGUAGAUGGAUAAGAAGCGCCGGCUAAAUACGUG